GGAAGGCAGAGUCCAGUGAGGCUUGAGGAUGAUGCCCUCCCUGCAGUGACAUGCUCAUUCCCUUGGUUUUAUGUCACAGUGAAACUUGGAGCAUCAGAACGUAACUCAAAUCCUCCUUGGGGUACUGCACCACAGUGAUGGACAGGCCAUGGCUUUCUGUCUCAGAGGGAGCUCAGCAGAAAAAAAGAAGGAUGUGGUCAAGGACGUGAGUCGACACGCUCACACAGCACUAAGUGCAUGAGUGCAGCUCUAGCAAAGUAGGUCAUGUCAACAAGAGGCUGGCUGAGCGAAACGGGAUGCUCUGGUGUUCCAUUAACAUUAGCAUUAACAUUAACAUGAUGAGUCGCUCACUCCUCCCAUGGGGUCCCCAUGGACAUGGCUGCUCCCUCCCAUUGCUGGUGAAGCUCUGAAGAAGGAGAAUGGCUUUGGGAAGAGCUGCUGAGAGCCCAGCCCUUGUGGUGUGCAUGGAGGGAGGGGUUCUGGAGACAGAUAGAGCCUUUUGCCCACAGGAGGUGGGUGCUGGAGAGAGGAAGGAAGAGAAGAGGGUUUCUAGCCCAGGGAGGGAGAGAGGAGGCUGGUAGGCCAAUGCCAGUGCUCAGCAUUGCUAGUCCUUCCUCGCAGGCAUCAUAUGUAAAUUGAAAACAUCUACUCAUGACUCAGGUUCUCUUGUCAGCUCUCUACCAUGCUCAUCCCAAUCUCUUCCUUUCUGCUACUUCCUACACUGCUGCCGAGGCUGAAGCAACACCCUGAGGCUGUGACCACCUAUGCUGGUGUUUUUUCUCCAGGCUGGAGCAAAUAAAUAAAUAAGUCAUCCUCAAAGGUGCCAUUAAGGAGCAGAGAGUUAGUGAUUAGUGGCAACAGGAAAGGGGAAAAAAUUAUAAACAAAGAAGUCAUCGUCUUUUCCGUGGGGAGAGCACUUCUAAAAAUCCUUUAACAGGGCUCAUUAAAUAUUCAUGGACUCUGUGGCUGGCUAUACAUCCUGAUUAGCCCAUGGCUUCAGCUCAUUGUGUCCGGGGUGUUUCUGCUCCUCACUGUGGAAAUAAAAGCUGAUGGUCCAUCCUGCAUGACCACUGAAUCUGUGCAUUGGCGCAGGUUGCCUACCAGCCCAGGAGCCCUCCUGACCUUCCUGCUGAGCUCCUGGGCAUCUCUCGGCCUUUUAUAUUCUGCUUUCCCAUUAAUGGGUAGCCCUAAAGCAAAGCCAAG
ensembl:lncRNA